AUUGAACGCUGGCGGCAUGCUUUACACAUGCAAGUCGAACGGUAACAGGCCGCAAUGUGCUGACGAGUGGCGAACGGGUGCGUAAUGCAUCGGAACGUGCCCAGUCGCUGGGGGUAACUACUCGAAAGAGUAGCUAAUACCGCAUACGAUCUAUGGAUGAAAGCGGGGGACCGUAAGACCUCGCGCGAUUGUUGCGGCCGAUGUUAGAUUAGUUAGUUGGUGAGGUAAAGGCUCACCAAGCCAACGAUCUGUAGCUGGUCUGAGAGGACGAUCAGCCACACUGGGACUGAGACACGGCCCAGACUCCUACGGGAGGCAGCAGUAGGGAAUCUUGGACAAAGGGCGCAAGCCUGAUCCAGCAAUGCCGCGUGCAGGAAGAAGGCCUUCGGGUUGUAAACUGCUUUUGUACGGAACGAAACGGCUCUGGUUAAUACCCGGGGCUAAUGACGGUACCGUAAGAAUAAGCACCGGCUAACUACGUG
rnacentral:rRNA from 1 species